rnacentral:rRNA from 1 species
GAUGAACGCUGGCGGCGUGCCUAAUACAUGCAAGUCGAGCGAACAGAUGAGGAUCUUGCUCCUCUGACGUUAGCGGCGGACGUGUGAGUAACACGUGUAUAACCUCCCUAUCUGUCUGGUAUAUCUUCGGGAAACCGGCUCUAAUACCGGAUAAUAUAUUGAACCGCAUGGUUCAUUAGUUAAUGUCGGUUUUUCUGUCUCUUCUAGAUGCUUCUGGGCGGCAUUAGCUGGUUGUUACGGUAACGGCUUACCACGGCAACGAUGCGUAGCCGACUUGCGAGGGUGAUCGGCGACACUGGAACGGAGACAGGGACCAGACGACUACGGGAGGGAGCAGUAGGGAAUCGGCCGCAAUGGGGGAAAGCAUGACGGAGCAAGGCGGAGUGAGAGAUGAAGGUGUUCGGAGCGUAAAACUCGGUUAUGAGGGAAGAACAAAUGUGGAAGUAACUAUGCAGGUCUUGACGGUAACGAAUAAGAAAGCCACGGCUAACUACGUG